UUGAUGGCAGUGUAUUGGACUACCUUGGCUAUUACGGGUAACGGAGAAUUAGGGUUCGAUUCCGGAGAGGGAGCCUGAGAAACGGCUACCACAUCUAAGGUAGGCAGCAGGCGCGUAAAUUACCCAAUCCUGACUCAGGGAGGUAGUCAUGAGAAAUCUUAGAUCAGCAAUAGCUGAAUAUAUGAUGGGCUAAAUCUAGACCAUUUUACGAAUCAAUUGGAGGGCAAGUCUCGGUGCCAGCAGCCGCGGUAAUUCCAGCUCCAAUAGUGUAUAUUAACGUUGCUGCAGUUAAAAAGCUCGUAGUUGAAUUUCUGUGAGUCGAAUUUUCUCCGGAUUAGGAGACAUCACAUCCGCGUCGGAAGCCAUUACAGUUUAACUUAGUGGUAGAAGCGCAUUUUACUUUGAAGAAAUUAGAGUGUUCCAGGCAGGCUUUGCUUGAAUACAUCAGCAUGGAAUAAUGGAAUAGGACAAGUCAAUUUUAUUGGUUAUUUGGCUUGUAAUGAUUAACAGGGACAGUUGGGGGCGUUUGUAUUCAAUAGUCAGAGGUGAAAUUCUUGGAUUUGUUGAAGACAAACUAAUGCGAAAGCAUUCGCCAAGGAUGUUUUCAUUAAUCAAGAACGAAAGUUAGGGGAUCAAAGACGAUUAGAUACCGUC
rnacentral:rRNA from 1 species